AACGAACGCUGGCGGCAUGCCUAACACAUGCAAGUCGAACGAGACCUUCGGGUCUAGUGGCGCACGGGUGCGUAACGCGUGGGAACCUGCCCUUAGGUUCGGAAUAACUCCCCGAAAGGGGUGCUAAUACCGGAUAAUGUCUUCGGACCAAAGAUUUAUCGCCUUUGGAUGGGCCCGCGUUGGAUUAGCUAGUUGGUAGGGUAAAAGCCUACCAAGGCGACGAUCCAUAGCUGGUCUGAGAGGAUGAUCAGCCACACUGGGACUGAGACACGGCCCAGACUCAUACGGGAGGCAGCAGUGGGGAAUAUUGGACAAUGGGCGAAAGCCUGAUCAAGCAAUGCCGGGUGAGUGAUGAAGGCCUUAGGGUUGUAAAGCUCUUUUAGCCGGGAUGAUAAUGACAGUACCGGGAGAAUAAGCUCCGGCUAACUCCGUG
rnacentral:rRNA from 1 species